rnacentral:rRNA from 1 species
AGUGAACGCUGGCGGUAGGCCUAACACAUGCAAGUCGAACGGCAGCACAGUAAGAGCUUGCUCUUACGGGUGGCGAGUGGCGGACGGGUGAGGAAUACAUCGGAAUCUACUUUUUCGUGGGGGAUAACGUAUGGAAACUUACGCUAAUACCGCAUACGACCUACGGGUGAAAGCAGGGGAUCUUCGGACCUUGCGCGAUUGAAUGAGCCGAUGUCGGAUUAGCUAGUUGGCGGGGUAAAGGCCCACCAAGGCGACGAUCCGUAGCUGGUCUGAGAGGAUGAUCAGCCACACUGGAACUGAGACACGGGCCAGACUCCUACGGGAGGCAGCAGUGGGGAAUAUUGGACAAUGGGCGCAAGCCUGAUCCAGCCAUACCGCGUGGGUGAAGAAGGCCUUCGGGUUGUAAAGCCCUUUUGUUGGGAAAGAAAAGCAGCAGGUUAAUACCCCGCUGUUCUGACGGUACCCAAAGAAUAAGCACCGGCUAACUUCGU